AGGGAAUCUUCCGCAAUGGGCGAAAGCCUGAUGCAGCAACGCCGCGUGAGUGAUGAAUGCCUUCGGAUUGUAAAGCUCUGUCUUUGGGGACGAUAAUGACGGUACCCAAGGAGGAAGCCACGGCUAACUACGUGCCAGCAGCCGCGGUAAUACGUAGGUGGCGAGCGUUGUCCGGAUUUACUGGGCGUAAAGGAUGCGUAGGCGGAUGUUUAAGUGAGAUGUGAAAUUCCCGAGCUUAACUUGGGAGCUGCAUUUCAAACUGGAUAUCUAGAGUGCAGGAGAGGAGAAUGGAAUUCCUAGUGUAGCGGUGAAAUGCGUAGAGAUUAGGAAGAACACCAGUGGCGAAGGCGAUUCUCUGGACUGUAACUGACGCUGAGGCAUGAAAGCGUGGGUAGCAAAC
rnacentral:rRNA from 1 species